AGGAUAAUAAUUUAAUAAAAAUAUCUAUUUAGCAUAUAGAAAAUAUUAAAAAGAUUAAUUUAUCUUA
rnacentral:tRNA from 1 species